rnacentral:rRNA from 1 species
UACGGAGGGUGCGAGCGUUAAUCGGAAUUACUGGGCGUAAAGGGCGCGUAGGCGGCCGAUCAAGUCAGAUGUGAAAGCCCACGGCUUAACCGUGUGAAGUGCAUCUGAAACUGGUCGGCUUGAGUAUCGGAGAGGAAAGUGGAAUUCCCGGUGUAGAGGUGAAAUUCGUAGAUAUCGGGAGGAAUACCGGUGGCGAAGGCGACUUUCUGGACGAAUACUGACGCUGAGGCGCGAAAGCGUGGGGAGCAAACAGG